CAAAAGCUUCAGCGGACUCAAACCAUGCCGCAAGAGUGGUCCUGAAUGUGUCAUUUGAUCAACCAAGCACUGAACUCUUGAAACAACUCCACUGGCUACCAGUAAAAGCUAGAAUCAUGUACAAAGUCCUGGUUAUCAAUGUGCGGGAACAAAAACUGUCACGUGACCACAAAUGCUAACGACCACGGCUAUUUUGUGGACAAAACGUCAAUCGAAGAUGGAUCACUCAAACCCACAGAUUUGUAGCUAUUGUGGCAACGUUUUUAAAAGCAAGUCAUCUCUGUGCAUGAGAUGAGUCACAAAGAGACUGGGAAGGGAUAUACCUGCUACGAUUAAGUGUACUUCAGCAAGGCAAAUCUAAACAGGCACAGAUAUCAUGUACAUGGUGAAGAGAAGGCAUUCGUGUGUAUCAAGUGCAGUAAGCGAUUUAUUCAGAGUAAUGCUCCAUGAAACUAGGCGACCAAUUUGAACAUCUACGUCUAACACCUAAUCAUUGUGUGUGAUCAAUGUGUAGUAAGAACACAAUUUUGGCAUCAACAUUGUUUUUCACCUGCUUGAAAGGAGCCAUUUCGGGGGUAUUUUUCAUCUUCAUUUACGAGUUGUUUGCUUUUUUUCUAGUGCCAUACUAUUUGUUAUAAAUUGGUGCCUCUGAUAAAUCAUUUAUAAAAACCUUGUUCUUUAGUUCAUGUUUUGUUUGUUAUUGUUUUUUUAUGCGUAACAAUAACGAUGGUGUAGAUUCAUUCAAAUAGUUUAUACAAUUUGUUAUGCUCAUUUGAAGUAAAAAUGAGUCACAUGAUACAAAAGCCUGAUUAAUACAGAUAUAAUAUAAACAUUUCUAGUCAAAAGUUUCAACACAAUUUGAUUGAUGGUUUGCUUUUGCUUUUGUAUUAUAUUAAUGCAUACUUGAUGUUCCAUAUGGCGAAGUCAUUAAUGUGAUGAUUUAUGACUAUUUACACUCA